UUUUUUUUUUUUUUUUUUGUGAAUUGUGUUUCCAUUCCUUUGCAUAGUGCAUAAAGAGUAUACUUUGGUAUAGCAGUGCUUUGUAUAGCAUGUUGUUUUGUUACUACUUACAUGCAGGGAAAUUUUCUGUGCAUUAUCUUUCAAAUUGGAUCCUGGUUCUGUGCAGUUAUUGGAACUUCUAUUUUCUGUUUCAUAUUUCUGACUUAUGGUGACAGAAAGACAGAAACACUUGUAUUUGUUGGUUUUAUUGACAAUAGGUAUUUGAUUAAAAAAAUGUAGGUGGAGUCAAUGAGCAACCAGGAAGAAGUAGAGUUGCGUGCUAAGAUCGAAGCAUUAGGAUUAGAAGUCACCAAGGUACCAGAGCAGGCACCUAAGCAUCUUGACGAGGUAAACGCAAAUGCUCUAAUCAUGUUUAAUUGCUCUCUUCACCAUGAACCUUUAUAAAUUGUCUCAUCCGCUUCUGUUCAACCUUCUUUAGCUCGAAAUAGCUGCAGAGCUGGACAAACUAUCAUCACGGCUUGAUAACGUGGACAAGAUGAUAUCAUCUGCCAUGGCCUCAGAUCCAGAGGUGAAAUCUCUUCUUAGCAGCACUGCUGAUAUCUGGAUGCCAGUCAUUACUGCAUCUGCCGAUGAGAGACGGGGGUUUGCAGGGACAAGCAGUGAAGGCAGCCAGGACGAGGAGGAGAGUUCCAAGCAAUAGCUGGCAUAUAUGGGCUGUAAUUAUUUCAUUUUGUGGGAUCGUAUCAACCUGGUAUAUGUUCAUUCAAACCAGUGUUUUCAUCAGGGUCAUGUAUCAAAAGUUUUUUUUGACGAAAUAAACAAUAAACCCACAUAUGUCAUGUACAAUAAUUCAAUAAUGAGUGUAAUGAUCUAAAUUGUGAACCCUUCAGUUGGCCUCAAUGUAACACUGAUCAGUUUUUUCAGUUGUCACUUCCUCAGUUCUUCUGUUGUCACCUCUUCAGUUCUUCCAUUUCAAAGCUGCCCAUGGUAUUGAGCUUUGCCCCUACACUUCCCUGGACAAAAAAGGGCAAAGAGCAGUAUGGUCCAUGAUGCCGACUGGAGCAUGCACAUUAUCAGUGGACGAUUGUCAUGUCCUGCCCACGAGUCUCAUAAUUAGAUUAGCAACCACGUCUGUUAAUCCAGCUUGCCACGUGGACUGGCACAUAUCAUCCACACAUUAUCCUGUAAAACCUCUCUGUGCUCGAUGUGCUCUCCUUUGUCAUUCACAUGGAAUCGAACCAUGCAUCCAGAAAUACAUCGGGACCAAUUUGGCGCCAAACCAACUGCCACAUGAACACCACAAGUUUGCCCAUCUCUUCUCCUCCAUCCACGCUUUCCAAAUCCCUCCAAAACUGUCACCAACCAUGGCGCCGUCAACGUCCUCCCUCUCGUCCCGCCAUACACUUCACCGUCUCCUCCUCCCCCUCACUUAUCCACUCGGGAGACUUCACUUGCUUCUUAGCUUGACGAGCUUAGCUUGCUUGCUAGCCGCCGGUGAGGUCGAGCGCUGCUUCGACACGCCAUGGCGGAGGACGGCAAGUCCAACGAUCAGAUCCUCAGUGAGCUCGACGCGCUCAGCCACACGCUCUACCAGGCGCACACCAAGCGCCGCACCGCCUCCCUCGUGCUCCCCCGCUCGGCCGGCGACAGCAAUGCCGACGGCGUUGACGCCGUCCGCGCCGCGGCGCGCCCGCCCUCCCGCCGCCUGUCCAUGUCCCCGUUCCGGUCGAGGCCUAACCUGGACAAGAACGCGAACGACGACGAUGACGGCGACGACGCGGGAGCGGGCGUGGCGCUGCCGUCCAAGAGCCAGAGCUUCGCCGCGGUGGCCACGGCGGCGCCGGCCGUGGCCGGGGAGAAGAAGGGGAUCUGGGGCUGGAAGCCGAUCCGCGCGCUGUCGCGCAUCGGCAUGCAACGGAUGGGCUGCCUCUUCUCCGUCGAGGUGGUGGCGGCGCAGGGCCUCCCACCGUCCAUGAACGGGCUGCGCCUCGCCGUGGCCGUGCGAAAAAAGGAGUCGCGCGACGGCGCCGUGCAGACCAUGCCGUCGCGCGUGCAGCAGGGCGGCGCCGACUUCGAGGAGACGCUCUUCGUCCGGUGCUACCUCUACUGCAGCGGCGGCGGCGCCACGGGGAAGCCGCUCAAGUUCGAGCCCCGGCCGUUCCUCGUGUCGGCCGUCGCCGUGGAGGCGCCGGAGCUCGACCUCGGCCGGAACGCCGUGGACCUGAGCCUCCUCGUGAAGGAGUCCUCGGAGAAGAGCCAGCAAGGGGAGCGCGUCCGGCAGUGGGACAUGGCGUUCCCGCUCGCCGGGAAGGCCAAGGGCGGCGAGCUCGUCGUCAAGCUGUCGUUCCAGAUCAUGGACGACGGAGGCGUCGGGCUGUACAACCAGCCAGCCGUCGCAGGCAGGAGUAGCUCCUCUUCGUCGUCCUCCUUGUUAGCUCGGAAGCAUAGCAAGUCGUCGUUCAGCGUCACGAGCCCCAAGGUGGCGCGCCCGGAGGCGGCGCUGAUACCGUCCAAGGGCGCGCCGUCGCCGGACUUGCUGGGCAUUGACGACUUCAAGCUCGAUGAGCCUAGCCCAGCAGUGGAGGAGGUCAAUGAGGAGCAGCAGAAAGAGCCGGAGCGCGAGCCCGAGGAUGCGAAAGCCGAGGACUCGGAGUUCCCGGAGUUCGACAUCGUGGACAAGGGCGUCGAUGAGCCUAGCCCAGCAGUGGAGGAGGUGCAGCAGAAAGAGCCGGAGCGCAAGCCCGAGGAUGCGAAAGCCGAUGACUCGGAGUUCCCGGAGUUCGACAUCGUCGACAAGGGCGUCGAAGGGCAAGAAGAGAAGGAUAAUCCUCCGAAGGAAGAGGCCGAGGACAAGAAAGAAGCCAAUGAGGAGGAGGAUGCUUCGGCGGCGGCCGACGGCGACGAGGUGGUCAAGGAGGUGGUGCACGAUAGCGCGCGCACGUGGCGCCUCAACGAGCUCGAGGCGAUCACCAACCAGAUCAAGGCCCUCGAGAACAUGAUGCACAGCGACGUGGCGGACGCGGGCGACACGUCGCCAGAGCGGCAGGAGGACGAGGUGGCUGGGCUCGACGCCGAGGAGGAGGAAGUGACCAGAGAGUUCUUGAUGCUGAUGGAACAGGGAGAGGACGAGGACGGGGCGGCGGCCAAGUCGUCGUCGGCUCCGCAAGUGUCGUCGCUCAAGUCCGGCAAGAAGCCUGCCUCCGGCGCCGACGCCACGUGCUACGUCUCCGACCUCGGCAAGGGGCUCGGCCCCAUCGUGCAGACCCGGGAUGGCGGCUACCUGGCCGCCAUGAACCCGUUCGACAUCCCCGUGGAGCGGAAGGAGCUCCCCAAGCUCGCCAUGCAGCUGUCCAAGCCGUUCAUCCUCCGCGGCCAGAAGCUUCCCGGCGGCGGCGCCGAGGUGUUCCAGCGCCUGUGCGCCGGCGGCGGGUCCGAGGCGUUGUGCGCGAAGCUUGGCGCGCUCAUUGCCAUGGACGACGUCGUCGGCAAGACGGCCGAGCAGAUCGCGUUCGAGGGCAUGGCAUCGGCGAUCAUCAGCGCGCGGAGCAAGGAGCUCGUCGCGAUCACCAGCGCCGCCCACUCCGUCUCGCUGCUCCGGACGAUGUCGGUGGCAAUGAGCCACGGGCGCCAGGACAGGAUCGCUACGGGCAUCUGGAACGCCCAGGAAGCGCCGGUGGCCGUCGACGAGAUCCUGGCGUUCGCGCUGCAGAAGAUAGAGACGAUGGCCAUCGAGGCGCUCAAGGUCCAGGCCGGCAUGGUCGAAGAGCAGGCCCCGUUCGAGGUGUCGCCGGAGAAGACGCAGGCCAAGCACCUCCUGGACACCGCCGUGCCGCCGGAGGAGUGGGUGAGCGCCUGCGACGGCGCCGACGCGGUCUCCUUGCUCGUGGUGGUCCAGCUGAGGGAUCCCAUGCGUCGGUACGAGGCCGUCGGGGCACCGUCUGUCGUGAUCAUCCAGGCCGCACGGGCCGCCGGCGCCGGGGACGACGAGCGGAGGUUCAAGGUGGCAAACCUUCACCUCGGCGGCCUGCGGCUGAAGUCGCCCGACCGGCAGAACAUGUGGGACGGCGAGAAGCAGCGGCUCACGGCGAUGCACUGGCUCGUCGCCUACGGGCUCGGCAAGGCCGGGAAGAAGAGCCGGGCCGCGGCCGCCGGGAAGGCCGGGAAUGAUGUGCUGUGGAGCAUGUCGUCGAGGGUGAUGGCUGAUAUGUGGUUCAAGCCGCUGCGCAACCCGGACGUGAAGAUCCCCCAGAAGUAGCCGCAGAAAUCUUGGUCCUACAGCUUAUAUGAUUGUAAAUUAUCCUGCAUUGUGUGGUGAGGUCAAAAUAAAGGACUGUUCUUUUUCCUUUUUUGUUUGAGAGAAUUGUAAGAAUACUGAAUACCAUACUGUGAACAAGGAAUAUUACUGUGACAGCAAGUGAACAGAGGUUCGGCCCAAACAUGCAAAGAUAUACUGAAAGCUAUGCAAUGAAACAGCUGUCAUUGCUGAAUCUGAAGAUAGGCAGGGAUGAAUGCCUUCAAGAAGUAUCAACCCUGUGACACAAAAAUUAAGAGCAGUAGCAUAACGCAGAAUUUCACUUCAAACCUCAUCCUUCAAAAGGAUUAUUUACAGUGCGAGGUUGCGUUUAAUCAUGAGAAGUGUAUUCUUUUCUCAUACAUCAAUCUUACAGAAAUACAGAGCAUCCUGAAUGCACCAGUAAAGCACCACCUGACCACAAUGCUAUACCUGUAGGGGUGCUGAAGCUCAAGGUUAUUUAAGAUGGAGGCAGCCAUCUUUCAUACGCAGCUGCAGACAUCUUACACACAAUGUAUUGUAUUUCGGUCAGUUGCUUGUUCCCUGAAAGUACCAAUCUUACUCUCUUCCAAGUAGUAAGUCAGAAACGUACGUCUGAUACCAAAAAAAUGCAUCAAGAGACAUAUCCGAGUCAGAUUAUAUGUUAACUUCUUCCAGUUCACGGGGAAGCCCUCCACUCGUUGGCCUGAAAUGAGCAGAUUUACAGUCAUAACAAAGGUACCACAGAAAUGUAUCAGGAAUCCAAACAAAUGCAGCAUGCUAGUUAUGACAUAAAUGGAUAUUGACAUUUCCAGAUGGAUAUCUAUGUUUUUGACAUUUCCAGAGAACCUGUUUUCUUUGGUGUGACUGAAUAAAAAGAUUACCACAAACUUCUAGAAAGGAACCUUCACAACAAUGCUAGCAUCAGUGGACACUCGAAGUGCCAAUAAAGAGUAUUGCUUUUGCCAAACCAAUCAUAGGAGGUAACAGGAAUUCUUUGUUCUCACUAUGAAUGCAUAGCUAAACACACUGGUGAAAGAUGGUACUCGUGUAGAGAAACCAAACAUCAGCCAACAUUUGGUAAUUAUAUGAUGUUCACGUUCUCUAUUUUAACACAUUUCAUCUUUUUAACAAUUUAUUAAUAAAAUUAUACGAUGUUCAUGUUCUUUAUUUCAACACGUUUUUGAUUUAGUCCUUAAUAGAUACCUGCACAGGCACAGGCAUACAAGUAUACAACCUUUCUUCUUUCUGACAGUAUAACUAGGCCAUUGUAUAAUUAUACAGUGUGACAUCAAGCUUGAUAUAUUCCAUGAAAUAGUUCAGCAUUGUAAAAUUAAAAUCCAGUUUGUGUGUAUCGCUGUCAACAUUUCAAACCAUGCUUAUUUAGUUUAUAUAAAAGAGGAAUACACUUGAGCUAACAGGGAAACUGCAGACUUACAAUCCAGUCAGUAUCUUGAUUGUAUCAUAGAAGAACCACUGCAUGGUUAUGACAGGUCCAACAAGGGUGAUCCGAAUGGGCAGGCUUCUUGUGAACAAAUUACGAAAUCCAAUACUUUUCACAGCCUGAAAGUAUAGGAUGAGAUCAUAGAUUAAUGGCUAAUGAUUAAUGUAAUGGUGGAAUUUGAUGACAAUGACUUCCUAGGCUCAAAAGUUACAAUUAUGUCCUUACAUGUAUGAUAUUUUCAGCCUUUUUGUUGUACAGGGAUGAGACGAUAUUAUCUGCGGGAUUCGAAACAACAGUACCAACAGCACCAGAGAUGUAACCAGCCAGACAAGUAGCACCAAGCUGCUGCAUUGUUGAACAGUCCUCCUUUUUCUUUUGAAUAACUUUCUGAUAUAGGAAGUCCACGGUAUGCUCAAAUGUUGAAAACAUGAGCAUAGAAACUACAAGAAGAAGAAAGCAUGGUAAAUAGAAGAUAAAAGACAUCUGAAAGAUAAGAAGGUUAACAUCUUUAAACCAGAAGAUGCAUUUAUGAACUGACACAUUAGAGGAACAGGGAGAAGAUUCAAACAUUGCAUAGAGAGGACUUUUUAAGAUGUUGGAAGCAGAGACUGGUCGGUGGUCGCUGAUGCUGAAUUUAUAAGUUUCUAGUUCACUUAGCAGAAAUAUCAUGAUCUCCAAAAGACAGAAGUUUGACAGUACAGAUGUCGUUGCUUCUCAAACUUGAUAACCAGGGUAAGAAAUGUAAUUCAGCCUGACGAAUCAGUGAAGACUAGCAUGUUUCUACUCAUUCUUACACAACAUAUGUGAAACAACUUUUGGAAAGAAAUGAAUGCUACGAUCCAAUACUAAUUAGAUUUGAUGCAACAAGAAGUCACAUAACUAUCACCUACAUUACUUUAUCUGAUUAAGCAGCAUUUUGUGAAACAGAACAUGUACAAAAUACGGGGGAAGUUCAAUUACAAGGAAGGUUCCGUCCCCAAAGAGGUAGAAGCCCCCUGUAGAAGCUGCAAUAGCACAAGAAAUAUGUUUUCUCAGGACGGUAAAUGAAAGUUUGCAUCUUCAAGCAUACACAGAAUGCAUCAAAUAGGGAUAAUAUUCUAUAUAUCUUAUUCAUGAUAGCUUACCCAGACAGGCCUUCAGUUGCAUACACCCUUGGAAAGCCAUCAACCAAGCCUUUUGCAAACAUGGGCUGUGUCUGAACGCGGACUUUCACCGAUUCAAACGGGCACAGGCCAACAUCAGCUAUGAUUUGAGCAGAGGCACUGCUAAGGAAGUAUAUGGUGCUCUUGUUACUAUCUGGUAGUACGUCAGAGUACCUCUUCUUGAAAUACUCAUAGAGACCGAACUUGCAGCCACCCUGAACACCAUAGCCAAAAAAUUUCCCUCCCCAGCCCCUCCAAAGUGAUGAAGGUCCCUCUUCUUUCACAAGAACGUUCAGUCCUGCAAAUAUACUAUUAUACUUCAUGGGAUUCACCUGACAGAUAAAGGAAGGAAAACUAAUUAUAAACUGAAGGCACCAUUUCUGAAUCAAUGAUUAGGUGUCACAGUAGAGAAUCGAAAGGCAUGUACUCCGUAAGUGGUAUAGAGUAUAAACAACAAUUAAUCAGUUCAAAACUCUGAAAUUAUUCAAAUAAAUGCCUUCAUUUCCAUCUUCUGUUCAUCGCUAAAGCUAAGCAUCUUACUUCAUCUUUCACCAAGCUCUUAUACUGAAAUGAUUCUCCAGUUCUCCACAGAAGCAUUUCAGCAGUAAGUUCUAGUGCACUCCUAACAUACCACGCUCACCGUUAAGCUUAAAGGCUAGAAAAUCCCAAAUCCUCGUAGCAUUGGGAAAUACUAUACCGCAGCACAAACCCAAGAACUAACAGCCACCACACCGAAGGCCGCAGCGAGCCAAACAAGGUGCCGCACGCCAGCACUGCAGCGCCGCAAGACUGCAACUUGAGCACCCGACCAACCAAGCAAAUCCACUCACCUGCAUGUUGACCUUGAGCACGUCGAGCGGGGUGAUGGCGAGGUGCGUGGCGCCCGCUGCCAGCAUCCCGCCGCCGGCGCAGAGCGCGUAGUACUCCGGAGAGAACACCCUCAUCCCCGCGGCCGCUCCGCCGCCCCUCCCCGCCCCCGCGGCGGCCUCUGCGUCGCCCAUUCGCGCCGGGCCCAGGAGUGCGGGCGGAUUGGAAUCGAUCAGCGUGCUCGCCUCCGCCGCUCCGGCGUUCUUGGAGUCUGGACUGGAAAUGGACCACGUAGCGGGGCCGCGUGCCUUCCGCUUGCCUUUUCGUUGGCGUUGAACGGCUGACUUGUCCGAGCGAAGGAGCGGGGCCUCAAACCCUAGCUUGGUGGCCCGCAUGUCAGUGAGCGCGAGAGGACACGUAAGAUGGAAGCUCUCUGGGCUGGGCCUGUUCAGCAGGAACCGACCGACCGAUUGAUGUAGAUGUGUGGGGGUGGGCUUUAUAGAUGCCACAAACAGGCCCACAGCUUUUUUCUGAGGCAAAAAGAGAAGAUGCCCGGCCCGCAGGCUACAAGGUUUCACCACUUGAAAAUGACAAUGUGAGCGUGCGUUUCGCAAAAACUAGAUUUCUAACGUUGCAACAACGAACAAUAAACUGGUUUUUAAAAAUCGCCAUAAACACAAAUCUAAGCUCACGCUUGUUCUAUGAUUUUUCCUCAAUUCCUGUGUAUCAAACUCCAAUGUUCCAACAGAGAAAAGAGAAAUCUAGGCAUGCGAGCAUCUACCAGCUACCACGACCAGGCUCCUGCUCGUGCGAAGAACCCAGCAUUUUUUUGAAACGAACCGCGAAGAACCCAACAUUGCUACCUGCACCAGUACUCAACAGUCAACACAUCGCACCAGUACUCAGGUCAAGAAAGAGCAAAAACUUCAAUGGCUAAGGCAAAUAAGCAAAUCGUCAGUGUGACAAGGGAUGCCCGGGAAGCAUAUCUGACACUGUUCCAUUUCUGAACUGGAUGCAACAUGCCAACAUCCUUACCAGCAUGUAGCAGCCUUGUCUCGAAGGUAUUAACAUUCAAACCUGAUCAUCCGGUGGCAUCAGAUUCAGCCGCGGACUAUGGGUUUCACAAGUUCAGAAUCAGCUACAUUUCAUAGAAGCCACACAGCUUAGCAACAACAACAGCAAAAAAAAUGAUCAACAACACAACAGCCAAAUAGAUAACAAAGGUUACUAUAUCUCAACCAAAGUAUGGAAAAAGUCUACACAACCCUCCAACCUAUUACACGUGGAUUGCUUAACCCACCAAACUAUAAAAUCAAAGUCUACAUAACUCUCCAACCUAUUACACGUGGAUUACUUAACCCACCAAACUAUAAAAUCAAAGUCUACAUAACCCUCCAACCUAUUACACAUGGAUUGUUUAACCCACCAAACUAUAAAAUUAAAGGCUACAUAAUCCUCCAACCUAUUACACGUGGAUUACUUAACCCACCAAACUAUUUUACCCCCCUCGUGUUUGCAAAACCAUUCAAAUUACGCCUGAGCUGAUUUUGCACAGCGGUUUUGCCACGUGGCAUGCUGACGUGGACAUGGCGACGUGUGGUACCCGCUUGUAAGCGUAACGGGCCUUUUGUCGAAUCCCCCGGCGCGUGACGGCGUCUGGGUGCGCAGGGGAAAGGCGGCAGCGCGCAGGCAGCGGCCGCGGAGAGCGAGCGAGGACGGCACAGGCAAGCUCCGACACGCAAGGCGAGGACCGGCGAAAAUAGAAGCAGGCACGGGUCAAAUCGGAGCAUGUAGACGGACGAAGACACAAUCCUACUGGCCAAAUUGGGGCACGAGGCCCGCGAAAUCGAAGCAGACGCGAGCCAAAACGGAGCAUAGGCGGACGAAAUCGAAGCUGGGGCAGGCUAGAUUAGAGCACUGGCCGGUGAAAUCGGAGGUGCUGUGGACCAAGUCGGAGCUUGCGCAGGCAGAGCUGAGGACGGCGGCUGCGGGCAAGGACUGUGUCUGCAUCUCCGCCGUCGCCGCUGCCGCGGUCUCUACAUCUCUACCUCAUCCGUGGACAUGUCGGCGUCUCCGCCGCCGUCUCUGCUCACGGGGAGCCGUACGCUGCCGCCGCCGCCGCUGCUCGAGCCGUCCGCAGGCGAUGCGAUGGUCGCCCGCUUGUGCGACCCCCGCAGGCAGCACGCACCUGGCGCUGGACUCCUGGUGCCAUGGCCUUCACCUCAAUCGGGCGAGGGCAGUGACGGAACGGCUACGGCUGGCGUGGGUAGGAGCAGAGUUGGCUCAUCUUGCUCUGCUCGCCUGCGUGUGGUUUGGAACCUUUACAAAUCGAAUCUGAACCUGAACUUUGUUUCGUCACCGACCAUGGCAUAGGCUGGUUAUUGAUCUUGCCUCGCCGUUGUCUGCUUCUUGGCUUUUACUAUUCAUCAAAAAACAGUUCUCUGAAAACUAAAGUAGAGAAGAUGAACGAAGCUGAGCCCCAGCUGCCCCCGUGCAGUGCGCCGCCAUCCACUGCGUGCUCGCCGCUCGCGUCGCCCGAGCAAAGCAGCCCCGCCAAGCUACACGCGCUGCGCCUCGCCCAUCCCCGCUCCAUGCCCUGGGCGCUUGCGUUCUGAACCUCACGCCGAACAGCGCGCCGCUCUUCUCUUCGUGCCUCUGCCGUGACUCGACGAUGGAAGUGCCACGCCGCUCCCUCCCCAUCCCUGCGCAGCACGCCGGGCCGCCAUUCGAGCCAGCCGCGCAGAAGCUGCAAUCGUCCAUGGGACCAUGAACAAAGCCGCCGUGGACCUGCCCACUCACCACUCAGCACCGUCGGCGAGGAGGCUUACGAGCGGGAUGGCGGGACCCACGUGUUAGGCUAUCCGCACCGCUGAGCGGUAAGCGGGCCUGUACGUGAAAUAUGGAGGUUGAGUAGCUGCAACGCAGAUCUCUAUAUGAAUUUGCAUGCCACCGUUCCCAACAAGGAUACUGUAAACCCAACAUCUGCGUAUUCCUACGCUAUCCUCUCUCUCCAGCACAAUCUCUCUCCCACACCAGCUGCUGCCGGCGCUGCGCACGGGACCCCACGCCCACUCGUCGCUCAGCACAUGGAUUUGCAGACGGGCAUAGAGGUCUCUGCGCAGCAGCAUUCCGUGGAUGGAAAUCUGCACAGCGUGUGGGCCCCACGGUUUUGCAGAUGAGCAUACCGCUCACGCGGUGCUGAUAGCCUUAUGUGGUUCACAUCAAUAAUGCAAUCCACCUUAGCAUGCCAACAUGGCAAAACCGCCGAGUGACAUCACCUUAGGGGUUAAGUAAAUGGUUUUACAAAGAUAAGGAGUAAAAUACCCGGUUUUAUAGGUUGAGGGGUUAUGUAGUCUACAUACAAUAAGUGGAGAGGUUAGACUUUUUCCACCAAAGUACUAGUAGAUAGAUAGUCCGGAUAACAUAAUUGUACCAUAAAGCAAAGAUUAACUGGUUCCCAGUUGACGCUCGUUUUUGACACACUUCUAGUGCUAUUUAACUAGUGUUUUCAUGCUUAAUCUUAUACUAACCCGCCACUUAGCACCUAAAAUAACCCCAUUAUUGCAUGUGUGUUGUAUUUUGGAGCAUAUUGCAUUAUGAUAGGAAAUGCAACAUAAUCAAGGGGGUUUGCAUAAAGAGCUUAAUGAAUAUUUGGACACGGGUCGUCGAGGGAAGUCAGCAAGAAGAAGGAGAGGACCAGAAGGGCUAGGAAGGGCCUAGGCCGAUCGGCCUGGGACCCUUUUGGCCGAUCAGCCUAGCCCAUUCCAGGGUCCGGUCGACCUCCCGUUUCUUCAGCAUGAAGUCUACAAUGAUGUCUAGAUUUUUUUCACUGACAUUGACCCAGAGUCAUCACCUAUAGGAGACUAUAAAUACCCCCUCAUGAACAUCAAGAAGGAGAAUUGGAGAGAGAGGAAAAAACACCACGCAAACACCAUCCACCGCUACCACAAGGAGGAAAAACAGAGAGAAGAUUGGAUCUAUGGGAAGCCACGCGAAGAGGAGCACCAGAGGAGGGAGAAACCUCCCAAGCCGAUCAGCUUGGAGGUGCCCAGGCCGAUCAGCCUGGGGCUUUUCUGCCCUCGUUCGUCAUCACCUUUGGUCCAGUUGAUCUACAGGGCGAUCUUUACCCAGAAUUAUGUCAACAUGUGUAAGAUCAUGGGGGUAAAGUCUCUGUUUGUCCUUGGGGUUGUAUGGAGAUCUUAAUUUGUAAUCGCUGAACCUCUUGUUUAAGAUCUAUUUGUUAUUUAUCAUAUCUUGAUGAUACCCUUUCAUGUAAUGGCUGGCCAGCGCUACUUUGGGUUGCUUAUUUGCUUACCAAGAAUGAUCAUCAAGCCGUAUUCUUAUUGUUCAAUAUUUGAGUACCCUUGUGUAACAACCAGGUUGUUAAAAGUUUAAGAAUGGUCAUUAAAGUGUUAAUGGUGAAAUUUGGAUGAAAAGAAAGUAUUAUGGGCCAAAGUCAAAUUUGACCAAAAAUUCAAAUUCAAGAUCCAAAUUUGAAAAAAGUUAAUAAAAAUGUGGAAUCAAGUCUUGAAGGUAUUUAGAAUUUAAAGACAUCAAGUCUCAAGUCAAAUAGAAGUCAUGGGUAUCUCAAAUUCAGAGUCAAAGAGGUUGACUGGAAAUUACUAAUCACUGUCUGAAAAUGCAAAUCUGAAAAUAGUGUCAAUCAUGCCACUUUGAAAUUAAUUUCUGGAGGAUUUUCGUAUACACUUUGAAAGAUUUUUGACCCCAAGUGGACUAUGAUAUCCAGUGAAUACAUUAGGCAUGUUGUUGGACAAGGAAAGAGAAGAGUUCAAAUUUUUCUGGAAGCUCAAAGUUUGAAAGCUGCAUUGUUUUAUAUUGACUGUCAAAACUAAAUAGCAGUAGCUGUUUCAUUUCUAAGGAUAGUGAGAAAUGGCCAACUUUGGCUCAAAAUUUUGGAAGAUUCUAUAUGUAAAAGUUGGGCUUUAACAUGCAAAAUGGAAUCCAUGUCAUAUGAUUAACAAGUUCCAGUAGUCAUUGGACCAACUAAACUGAGUUUGAAUGUUAAAAUUGGAGCUCAAAAAUGAAGCCAUGGGCUGAUUUGAAAGUUUACUGAUGAACUUAAUUGCCAGUUCAAUUGAACUCUGACAAGACCAAACCCUAGCCAUUUUUCAGAGCUUAAAUUCGCAAUAUAGAGUGAUCCAGAGCCAAAACUGUUAAUCUAUAGAUUGAAGUACCGAGGAUCCUCUACAACUUUGCUUAAAGGAAAUCAUGGAGUUUGAAUUGGCAAUCGGGUGCAAAUUGGAGUUGAACUUCAGGUGAAUUUUGGUAAAGAAAAGGGGAAAUCAGAGUGGCGUUGCUGCCACGCAGCUGGUUGCCGCUGAUGGCAAGAGCGGCGCCGCUGUGCCACGUGCCAGCACAGGCAAGCGACGUGAGCUCAAGCAAGCAGGUAGGAGGUGGCAGUCGGGAAAGCGGUGAAAAAUUCAUAUAUCUACCGCUCCCGCCGGCCGGAGUUAUCCAUUCACCGCACUGCUCUAUUUUUCACCGCGCUCGGUCGCCGGUGCGCUCCGUCGCCAUCCUGCCACCGCUAGCCGUCCCACUCUGCUAGAACCACCGCCUUGAGUCCCUGAACCUGUCCCGCUAGUCGUCGUCCAGCCCCAUCCACCACAGCUCCUGCCCGCCGUCAUCUUCUUCAAUGCCGGCCACCGCUCUAUUCUGGUAAGGUUGCCGCUGUGGAGAGUUAGGUUGCCGGAGGUCUGGUCGUUAUCCAAGGGCUUGGGUGUCACACGUGAGUUCGAGAUGGUGUAAACCUAGCUUGUUUGGCCUGGAGCGCGACUGGGUUGGCCGGAGCCCUUGUGCCGCCGUGCACAAACCUCGACCACGGCCGUCGUUGUGAAGCACCUCGCUCCGGCCAUGGUGAGCUGUGGUUUGUGAGCGCGCCGCGUAGCUUAGGUCUUCGUGAAGCCUCCAGAGUUGUUUGUGGUUGUCGGUUUGCCGCCGGCGAGCUUUGCGCCGUUGGUAGGGCCAGCGCUGCCGCUGCCUUCCGCCGUUCGCUGUCGUUGUCCACCCAACCACCACUAGAGUACCAUCAGAAGAUAUGCUAGGUUGGCGCGAGUCGAGUGGGGGUGUUCCAGUUACCGGGAACCUCGCCGGCGAUGAGCCGCCGUGGUUACCCGUCGGUAGACCCACGGCCAAGGCCGGAAGGGCGGUCUGUUGACUGAGGCCCACGUGGCAUUAAGCGGGGUUAGGGCGGGGGUGCGUACGAAAAGUUCUAGAAAGGGGGUUUUUGGGAUAGUGUUUGUUUAUAGUUGUAGAAAUUAGAUUUAAACCCUAUUUUCAUAUUUAAUUCAUUGUAAUUUAUAGAAUUGUCCAAAUUUAGUGAAACUAAUUUUAUUAGGUGUAUUUUAUUUUCCUUUAUGCAUUAAAAAUUCUUCAACCCUAGGAUAAAGUAAUAAAAAUGUUAAGUAUUUAUUUAGUACCUUUGAUUAAGGUAUUUAAAUAAAUACUUACUCUUUAUGAAAUGUAUAAAAUUCUGAAUAAUGUUUUAUUAUUCACAAAUACUUGUUAAUCCAUAGGAUUUAAAUUUUUCAGAUUAGAAAUUAAUUAUAAUACUUUUUCUAAAUAAAAGAAAGGUUUAAGUUAGGUAGUUAAAGAAAUUAAUUUGUGGGUUAAUCUUUAUCGGUAGAUUAGUGUUGGCUUGCAACUUUAUCAUGAAGAUAAGUUGUAUAGUCUUUAUUUCAAAAGUUUUGCAUGUCUAACUUUGGCAAGCAUCAUAUCAUAAAAACAGAAGUCCUGGAAGUGGAUUUCUUGGAAUUCUCAGAAGAACCUCAGGAUUUUGAAGAGGUAGUUGAAUUGGUCCCUUGUGUUGAAGGAUCUUCAGAGGAAACUAACUUUUUUGUGAAUCAAGGCAAGCCUCGGUGCAUCUAAUCCUAUCUACUUUCAGAAAUUUUUAUUGAUGAGUCCAAUUAUUUGUUAUUUCCUUAUUUAUGCAUUAAGUCUAGGAGUUGAUUGCAACCUACUCUUGUGCAUGAUCCCACCUUGUUUGUAGGACAACUUUGCCACCUGUUCAAUUAAUUAGUAACCAUCCUAUGUUUAGCAAUGCUUAGAUACCUUUAAAGUAACUUGUGUUACUCAACCUCUUAAGGUAAAAAUGGUCAUACAUGUUGAUCAAGGAAUAUAGCUUGGAAUUUGGAAGAUGUGGACAAAAGCUAGAGAUGGUAGUUCUGUUCACUAAGUUUAAUCUGGUUAAAGCGCAUUCAUUGUUUUAACCGCUGAUCAAGUGAUAUUACCUGGUUGCUUACUAUCUCUGGGGACAAGCAAAGCCCGGUAGGUUAGUUGGCUCUCUUAUUGGAAAUGUUCUUAGUCGUGCUUGGCGUGCGACAGAAAAGCAGGAGCAUAGCCUGAAACUCACAUGGAGAUCAGGUAGACAUGGGGCCCUAUGUGGGGGUGCACCCCUGAGUUCGGGCAAUUAUGUUUCCGAUCGUUGGGUAUGGAUAAUCGAAAGGUCGUUAUGCGCAAAUCAAUUAGUUGUGCAUGGCUGGUAAUUAGGUAUCUCCUUCAGGAUGUAAAUCAGUUUGGAUCAUCGCAAUUCUCAGUUAUGAAUGCACUUGAUCAUCGCUUAAGCAUUGUAGAGUAAUCAAGUUGAAUAUAAAGUUUUCCUUGAAUUAAUAUUGUUGUAUGAUGUUAUUCCACUUGAUUGCUCAAAAAGUUUUAUUCACCUAGAUCGGUUCGGUACAAACUAAUCUGAAAUAAAAAGAUAAAACUAAGGUUCUACUAGUAGUAAGCUUUCCGCAAAAUGUGAGUCAGCCAGUACACUAAAAAGCUAUCAUAUUUCUUGAAACAAUAUUUUAAAUCUACCUAUACAGGUUAGUUGGGUUAGUCUUGCUGAGUACCCUCGUACUCAGGGGAUCCCUUGUUGUUGUUUUCAGAAGCGCAACAGGGGUCAACCGAAGAGGAAGGUCCGAAGAACUAGGGUAUUUACGAGUCUCGUAAUACCCUAGAGUAACACCUAGUUGUAUAAUUACUUUAUCCUCGGACUUGUUUUAUGUUCAAAACUCUUAGAAGUGAUCUAACUUGCACUAUUAAGUUUGUUUCAAUCUAUGGUUUGUAAUAAUUCGUACCUCCAGUAUGUAUGUAAAAAUGUAAUAUUUGUUAAUGCUUUCCCUUCGUGGAAGCGAUCCUGAUGUAUGGUUACGAUUCAAGUCGUGGAUGAUUCGAGGUGUCCUAGGGACACUCGACGGACUAUCGGAUUUAAACUGUUUUAAGUGUGUUUUGUAUAAUUGUUGCUCUGAUAGCGAUUAGGUGCACUUAAGCCAGUUUAAGUCUGACGGUUCCGCCACACAACGUGUGAGAGGAGAAGUGUUGGGCAUGGUUCACAUCCACUCACAAUAACACUUAGAUCCAGUUCUUUCAUGCAUGGUGAUUACAUCUACAAGCGAUCCAAGAUCCCUAGGACGCGUGUUUUAUCUAUUUUGUUUACAUUCAUACUAGUUUUUUUGUUAGAUCAAACUUAUCUUAUACAAAGAACCUUCGGUUACAUAGAUUAGUGCUUAGUUAAGCGUGCAAAUCCACUUGUUCCAUGGAUUGAUAAACCUCGAGGAAUUACUCUAAGGGAAGAGCUACAACUGAUCCGUACGCUUGCGGUUCAUAAAUUGACGUGCUAAUUGCCAUCAACAUUCCCAUAUCACAUCAUGGGCGAGAUGCUGAUGCUGAAGCCAAACACACAACUUUGUUACUAUGUAGGCAGGCAAUUAUACUAGUUCAGCCUGUCAUUACUCUUUAGCAUUACAUAUAUAACUAGACCACCACGAAGACCAAAUCAAAAGCAUAUUUGCUCUAACAGGUAGCAGGGAUUCCACCAAACUUCAGAAUGGUGGCACAAUUUGCUGUAAAUUGUGCCGCUUGAUGGGCACUAUCUCAUAUGAUGGUGGGUUUAUUUGGGCAGUAAGGACACCAGGGGGUAUUGUUUUGUUGUUCCUGCGCCUCUUAUUGGUGGCUGCGCUAAUGCUUCUCUUCCAGCUUGGGCAAGCCCUAUUUUGUGCACUGGUUUGAUCAAGCAGAACACUCUCAUGCUCUCUUGGUGAUGGGGUGCCUGAAACUUCCCACUGGACACUCUCCAGCAUAUGGUUGUUAUGUGUCAUCUGUUCUGCUAUUUUGCUUGGACUAUUACUCGCUUGCUCAAACUCAGGCAUUCCUUGCGGCAGACCAUGCAUAAUAUCUAUGUCCUCUGUUAGGAUUGGUGGUGGGAUGCUUGAUGCAAUUUGGUUGUUGUGUGUCAUCUGUCCUAUUAAGUUGCUUUGACUAUCACUCGCUUGUCCAAACUUAGUCAUUCCUUGUGCCAAACCAUGCAGAAUAUCAAUGUUCUCUGUUAGAAUUGGCGGUGGGAUGCUUGAUGCAAUUCCUUUCCCCUUCCCCACUUCAGUGUAGGAGUGGGCAGUAAUGUUUGUACCAUGGUCGACAAGCCUGAUAUCGUUGACGCUAUGCCUCUGCCUCGUAUCAUCCAGCUCAUUCUUCUUUAUUCUGUCGAAGUACUUCUGAGCAUGGCUUGCUAGCUGUGCUGGGGUCCUUGAAGGGACGAAAUACUUGGAGAUGAAUUUCCAUGAACCUCGUCCCAAGCAAUUAACACCAUUUAGAAACUGCCUGCAUUUGCAAGUAGCUUUAUAAGUUGCAUUCUACCAGGCAAUGAAGUGAAAACUAUAAAUUUGUAUAACCUUUCACAAAAUUUUCUAGGCUAUAAACACAAUUGAUACCUUCUAAGUUUCACUUAGAAUUUAUUUUUUUUAAAAAAAUAUUCACAAUACAUAUUUCGAUUUGGUGAUGAUGGUUUGUUUGCUCGCGACAGCAUAUGGAUAUAUAAAAAGAAAAAAAGGGUGUUAAUAUGUUCAAUUUAGCAUAAUUCAUGGGGAUAGCUAUGGUAUGAACAAAUAUUCUUUCGCUACAAACAAAUUUCACAACUUAUGAUAUGUAGGAGCGAUGGUAUAUAUUGGGAUUAGUAUGUAAAGUGCAUAAAACACAAACACAUCUACUGUAGACACUCCUUAAAUUAAUUUAAAUGGCAUAAGCAAAGAGUAAACAAAGUUUUACAAGCACAAGACCAUGCCCAAUUGAUAAAAAAAGAUAUAGUCAUGCAUAUCUUCUAUGACUAUGUACUCCUAUAUCACAAGUCCAAAUUAACUCUAAAGAAUUGCCGGUAUAAAACAAAAAACUUGCCAGAAAAGGAAAAUGAAAACAUUUUUGGUAAAACAGCAAAGAACACAUGUGCCAUUUCACUUUGCAAGUAUAUCUUUUGCACAAACAGAUUUGCCAUUUUAGUAAACAAGGGUUGGCACAGAAAGAUUUUUAGUGUAUUUCCUAAAAUACCCAUGGUACUAAUCUGACGUUCUUGUAUGCUAAGUUGCUAACUGCAAAUAUCCUACCAUUAGUGACUAAAUAGUUUGUGUUUCUAAACUAAUAAACAAAUUAUUAAUAAGUGUAUUUUUCAUGCAAUGAAAGCAAAAGCACUUUCUUUAGCAUGAAAAUUUUUAUUAAAACAUUUUGUGGACCACAAAAUAUUUUAAUAAAAAUUGGCAAAACAUCUAGUAUCGUUCGAUCAAUUGUUGAAAUAUUGUUCUAUGCAUAUCUUCCUUGUAAAAAAUAGAUAUCAAACUUCCAAGAUAUCAUAUGUAUUUGUAGUAUUGAAUAUGAGUGAUGAACAUGAAGAUAACAGUGCUAGGUUUUUGACACCACUAUAUAUGUAGUAAAUUUUAGCAUAACAUCAAUUUCAUAUACAGUGGAAGUCUUCACAUCAUCACAGAAAUAAGUCUCCACAAUAUGCAUCUUUUAUAGAGUCAAUGUGUAAAAAACAAGGGCACAUGCAUAACCAUAUUAGUUGUGAAGUAAAAUAUAAAGGAAAAUGAAGUUUAUAAAUAUAUGAAAUGAGGAUAACCUGUGUUCCUCGCAAGUCCAAGAUUGUUUCCUCUUCCGUGAUGACUUGCAGUGUGACUCUUGUAUUUCCACAUGAUCUUCUGGUUUGAAUAACAAUUGUUCAGGAGGUUCAAACAAAGGUGUUUCAACUAAUGGUCCCAGAACCAAGCCAUUUUUGUCUCUUUGUAAAAGUUUGUACCAAUCAUGCCAAUCAGUAGUUGCAUCAUCUCUACUUGGUUCAUCAUCUGUCUCACCACAGAGCAUAUCCUCAAAUGCUUCAGCAUAUUUCUUUCCCAACUGCUGAAUAGACUUUGCAGGGAACCUCUUUGCAAGUGCUUCCAUCCCAUCACAUGAUUUUUCGUACCAUAACUGUGUAAAAAGUGCCUUGAACUCCUCUUCUUCACUGGAAGUCCACUCUUGGGCAGCCUUUGGAUCCAUAACUUCCAAGAAUUUCUGUCUCCUGCUGCAAAGGCAAUCUACAAGUGUAUAGCCAAUCCAAUCAGAAUUGCCAGCUGAGAUUUGAAUGGGCAGGAAAUAAGCCAAGAAAAAAGUUCAUUGCUUCCCUUACCUUUGAUUCAGAUGCUCAACCUCAAAUAAAAAUCCGGGAUCGAAACAACACAACAACCUAGCGCUUUUCUGUGAGCAAGGAUCUAAUCUUCCCACUCUUGGCAAAGAGCGAAGGCUUUAUGUCAAAGAGAGUUGGCCCUUAAAGGGAAUAUAUAGGGUCCAAACUAUGUAGAGCCUGCAUGCAAUGAUAUCUAGCCGUAUCGCCCAAGGAUUAUGCAUUUAUUUUCUCAAAUGCGUUUGAGGAAUAUAAGCAGGAUUUGACGUUACUAUUUCACACUAGUCAAUAAUUGAGAAAAAUCUUUUAUGUCCCCUACAUUUGUAUGCCCAAUAUCAUCUAGACAUUGUACGGCGACAACAUUUAUCAAGAAAAUUAAUAAAGUCUUAUUUUAAAAGCAUAUUAUAUGCACAGCCGAAAUUCAAUCUCAGAAAUAUUGGCUCAAGAUAUUGCACAUGACUUAUAAACAUAUCUGGCAUUUGAUCCUCUUAAAAAAUAUCCAACAAACUUUUCUUUGAGAUAUUGCCAAUAAGUGAUAAGCCGUUUGUAAGCUAUGCCAUGUUGACUUUGUGUUGGCUUUCUUAACCAUUAGUGAUAGAUUUCAGAAUAUUUUACAAUCAUGCAAUCACAUUUGGGGGGGUGUCAAUAGUUUAAAUGAUUUGUGUAUGCAACGCUUUGGAAUAAAAGAAAUAAUGGGUGGGUGGGUGGGGGAUUAAUUAACUGCACAAGCUAUGGGCAAACUAGAUAUCUAACACUACCUCAUACAAACUCAUCCAUGCACCAGUAAAACCUUUCUUUGUAGCAAAGACACACCAAAGUCAGAAACAAACAGUUUGUUCACUUGUGUUUUGCAGGUAGCUAAGAAAAGUACUUGACAUAGUUAGUAAAAUACCACUACUAUAAUUAGUAAUUAGGAAAACAAAUGACUGAUCAAUGCGCAGAACCACUUCUUUAAAAGCAAAUCUGGAAUAUAUGCCUUUUCAAGUUCACAUGCAUAAGCAGUGAACCAGCCUUUUGAAUUCACAACAAUUAUGAAACUAGCUAACACUACACAAUAUAGAUAAAAUGGCAACCCAGGUGAACAUAUGAGAUGGCAAUGAUCAUAAGUAUCCAAAUUAAUAAUAAUGAUCACAUAAUCUAUAUGUUCAACAACACGAAACAAAUAUUUGUUUACUUCUACACAUGGAUAAAACAUCAGCAGGGUUUACCAUUAUUGCUUUGUGUCCAUUCCUUUGGGGUCUGAUCCAACAGACAUGACAAGUUUGAUUUCUCGGUAUAACAUUCAAAACACAGAUAGGCCAAUAAAGCACCCACAGCAUCCAAAAUAUGAUGCUUGAACUAAUUAUAACACCAAGUAGGAAACAUGAAAGUUUCGCGGAGCUUGUUCAAAAUACAAAUCCUCAACAAGACACUUGUACAAUGAGCUUGUUCAAAACACAAAGUAUAUUAUUGCUCGAAGACACCCAUUGACAAAACUUAUUCAUAACACAAAGCAUGCUACCACUCAAAACCACAAGUUUCAGAUGGGUUUCAGCAAACACAUCUAGGUUCCCAUCAACAUAUACCAAAGCCAAUCUAAACCAGUCAACAUCAGACCACCCAACCAAUCCAUCAAUUCAUCACCUAGUGACAUCUAGGUUCCCAUUUUCCUCCGAUCAUUCGGAUUUUCCUCACAUAAGGGAUCACCCAUCAUCUUGCACCCACAAAAAUUACAAUCCACUAAAAUAAGCCAUGAACCAAGUGACGCAACUGAAAUGCAUCCCCAUUGAAAAUAGAAAAUGAGCAAGCGCAUAGACGAAUCAGACUCACAUGUGCCAGGCCAUAGAGGCUGUGCAAGUGUGUCGUGAGCUCUGCCUCCCGACACCAACAAUACUACAUUGCCCUAUCUCCACCCAAUCCUGCAAUGCUGAAAUGUCAAAAUGGUAUGGAAAUGUGAAGGUCGCAUGAAUUAAAAUUGAACCAACAAAGUUGUGCUGAAAUCUAACCUUGAGAUAAAAGGAGACUUAGCCCAGGAGACUGUGAAAGCCAUGCCUCAUUGCUUGGAACUAGGAAUGGAGAUCAGUUGUCUGUGACGAAGAUGAUGGAGAACCAGUGUUUUUCUAAAAAAAAUAAAAGGAAAUAUAAUUAGCUCAAUGUGCUUGUCAAUUGGGCCUUUUGGGCUGCGCUGAACAAAGCCUACUUACCACGUCGUGUCUCCUCCUGCUUGCUCAUAGAUCAUGACCCGAGGCCCAAGCUAUGCAGGAAUGGAUUUUUUUAAUCUUUUACUUUAGCAAAAAUAUAUACCGGAGUGUUAUAUAUUAAAUUGAAUGUGUGAUCUACUAUAUAUGAAUGUGAACAACAACAACAUAACCUUUCGAUACCAAGCAAGUUGGGGCAGGCUAGAGUUGAAACCCAACAAGAGCCACAAAUCAGGGUUUAGGCACAUGAAUAGCUAUUUUCCAAGCACUCCUAUCUAGGGCUAAAUCUUUGGAUAUAUUCCAUCCCUUCAAAUCUCCUUUUAUUGACUCUUCCCAUGUUAAUUUUGAUCUUCCUCUUCCUCUCUUCACAUUAUUGUCACGCCUUAGGGUUCCACUACGCACUGGUGCCUCCGGAGGCCUUCAUUGGACAUGUUCAAACCAUCUCAGCCGGUGUUGGGUAAGCUUUUCUUCAAUUGGUGCUACCCCUAACCUAUCACGUAUAUCCUCAUUCCAGACUUGAUCCCUUCUCGUAUGACCACAAAUCCAAUGCAUCAUACGCAUUCCCUACCAUAUAUGAAUGUGGAGAAUAUAAUUGAUUUAACAUGGCUGAUGUAUUGCUUGAGCUCCAUAAUAUGUUAGAUAAGGAAACAUUAUCAUGGGAUUAAAAUCAAUUAUAUACUAUGUCUGCGUAUGCCUAAUAUACUCUAAAAUGCCCCACCAAAGGGGUGAGAAACAAUGUAUCACCUACUCAGUGCGUCCGAUUUAUAUGAAUCAUCCUUGGGUAUUUUAUUUGUCAACUGAUAGAGGAUAAUAUAUACCACUCUCUAAGUUCUCAAUUCAUCCGCUUCUCUACACGAUUUAUCUUGGAACACUAUCCAUAAUUCUUUCUUACGUGAAUUAGAUGUACAUAAAAAUUUUAUGCUCAAUGAGACAUGGAAAUGUAGUUCAUAAAUUUGUUUCUCAUUUGAGGUCAUCUUGACAUAGAAAUAGUUGAUACAAUGUACAAAUCUACAAAUAGGGAUCUGAACAUUGUAUCAAAUAUUUGAGUGCCCAACAUGGCUUCAAAUGAAAAAUGGUGAACUGCAAAUUUGUUAAUAUCGUUGAUAUUUACAAGUUAAUGUAAAUAUUCUCUAUAUACAAGCUCAUAUUUAAAAACAUGUAACCUUUUGAAGUUAUGGUGCACAGAUGAGGGAUAAAUUAGCCACUUAAAGGUUGAUUCAUAUAAAAAGACCUUUAAGCGGUACAUCUGCCAUGAUAUGAGUUCAUGACUUUGAAGUUGAGAAUUUGAGAUGUGAUGAUAUUAGCUUCGUAAUGAUACCUAUCAUCCAACUUGUCACCUAAUUAUAUUAACCUUACUUGAGCCUUUUUUUUUAUCCCUUACCUUUUAAUUAGAUUCUCAACCUCAAACAAAAGUUAAAGAACAGAAUAUCAUAACCAUCUAGCACUUGAGCCAUAUUGAUCCAACAUCCGUUACGGUCGUUCAUUUUAUUCAAUUCAAAAAAUAUCUGUUAACUUUUUAUUCUAAGGAUUUUCUGAUAGCCCAGAAUACAUAAAAGGGUUGGAGGAUAAGAAAAGGAUGAUGGGAAAGUGACAAGACUGGACUUUGACUCAUUUAAAAAGAGAAAUCUUGGGAAUUUCUUAUGUCAAAGAGAACUCAAAGUUGAACUAAAAGGAAUAUAUAUGACCGUGAAAGCAUGCUUGCAGUGGUUAGUGAAGCUACAUGUGGCCCUCUUUGAUUGUAUUCAAGGUCACACAACGCAUAAAACAUGAAACAGUGCACAAUAUUCUUGUGGUAACAUGUAUCUAGCGGUCCAGCCUUAUUGCAUAAAAGUUAUGCGUUUAUUUUCUCAAUUUCCCAUGAAGAAUACAAAGAGGGUUUAACAUUACUAUGACACACUUGUCAAAAAUUGAGAACAAUUGUUUACGCUGCAUGCAUCUACACAAAAAAAAAUUGUAUAUAUACAUGUACUGCACCGUAACAUUUAUCAAACAUUACUAUGAAAGAUUUGAUUUGAGAUACUGCAUUAACCCUCUUGACAAGUUGAUAUCCUUUGAUAUUUGUUGUGCAACCUAUUUGAUGUGUAAGUGCUAAACCAUUUGCGAGCUAUGCUAUAUGUUAACUUUGUGUGGAUUUUCUUUCCUCUAUAGUUUAUCUCAUAGUAACAGAAGUUGAAACUUUGAUAUAUGAAAGAUUCGGUUCGAGAUACAUCAACCACCUUGACAUCCUUUGAUAUCUGCUACGCAACCCUCUUACCAAAUUGCAACAACUAUUCUUCAAGAUAUAAUUAGUGUGAGUGCUAAGACAUUUGCAAGUUAUGAUAUAUGUUGACUUUGUGUCAAUUUUCUCUCCUAUAUAAUACAUCUCACGGUGUCGGAAGCCAAAACUUUGAUCUAUGAAAGAUUUUAUCCAAGAUAUUGCGUUAAUCCUUUUCACAUCCUUUGUUAUUUUAUAUGCAACACUCUUACCAAAAUCCAAAAUAGUAUUCUUGGAGAUACUGCUAACGUGUAAGGGCUAAGCCGCUUGCAAACUAUGAUAUAUGUUGACUUUGUGUUGAUUUUCUUUCCUCCGUAAUAUAUCUCAUAAUAUCAUUUGUUGGUUAAUAAAGCUAUAAAACCCGUUAUUGCUCAAUGAGGGAGGAAUGGAUGGGAUUUGGGGUGGGGGUACUGGUAGUGUGUGUGUGCGUGUGUCUGUGUGUGGGUGUGUGUGCGUGUGCGCAUGCAUGUGGGUGCGUGUGUGUGAGAGGAGUUUCAUCAUCAUGAAACCCAGCAGGCACAGUUAACAAAUUUUUAACUUUGGUAACUGUGUGCAGUAAGACUGGUCUAACAUCUUUAUCUGACGUAACAUCUUUAUCUGAUAGCUUGGGUCUUGGACUCUUGGGAGCUCGCUUUCUUGGGGUGGGGCACGUUCAUCCAUGAAAUGUUUUGCGAUACCAUUAAAAAAAAUAGGUGCACAAGCUAUAGGUAAAACCUAACAACUGACGACCCUGCCUCAUAAGAACUUGGAACUUGACUCUUUGAUCCAAUAAGACCAUUUUAUGUAGCCUGGUGGCCCAAGUCGUACACCAAAGUUCAUAUAAAUAAUUUAUUUUGCUACAUUGUAGGCAGUUAUAAUUGCCAUUUAGCAAAAUGAACUACUACAAUCACCAAACAAAAUGCAUGACAAAAAAAAAACACCCAUGUCCAUUCCUUGGGGAUAUAGUUUUUUAGAAUGUACAGUGCUCAUAUUUUAUUCAUGAGACAUUGGACUAAAAUUAGCAUGGAGCUACGGAAGUUGUUGAGAGAACCCUAGACACGACGGCACUGAUGGCAUUGAUAAUAAAGAGGUUGUUCAGAACACAAACAAAUACGUACUAGUGCAAAGUAUCCACCUAGAGACACUCGUGGACCGAGCUUGUUCAAUAUACAAAAAGAAUACCACCAUUCCACCCUUGAUUGUGGUAAUUGUUGCCUACGGGCACGAAUAACCAACUUAACCGGAUUCAGAUUUGUUUCAAACCUUGAUUAACAUUGUGUAAGUAUAAGGCCCCCAUUUGGUUUAUGCCAAACAUCGCCAGCAAAGCAAAAGAUUAAGUGCGCGAUGCUUCUACAUUGACGGCUUGCUAUAUAUUUUAGGCGCCGUAUAUACAUACAUGCCACAAGCAUAUUCGUUCCCUUGGGUCUUGGCUUCAGAUUUUUUUGUCGUACCUUUUCCGAUAAACAUAAUUCUCCGACCAUACACGCGAUUGACGACAAGCAAACCCAGCCACGCGGCGGCGCACGCGCAUCGGACGCGUACGGCAAGUACGUGCUCCAUGCAUUAACCUUGGCCCAUGCCCUUCGGCAGUUGACAUUGAGACUACUAGUGCGUAAUACUCACACCGAUGUCCGUACGUGCGUACGCACACACGUCACGGACCUAACUUAUGAUGAGCACGGCGAAUCGUACAGUGGCCGAAAUAUCCCCAUUCCACCGUGCCGGCCACGAUGUGAUCGAGCGACACGACCGCCGCCAUCCUCCUCCAUGGAUUCCAUCUCGAGUACAAAAGUGACGUCCUGGUCUAUAUCGAUGAUGCUCUUUUUUCCUCGGGUGCGUUUUGCGCAGUUAACCGGGAAAUCAGAUAUCCAAAAUGUUUGCGUGCACGUCGAGAUUUGCAAUUGGAAUGAAAGAGGGCAAUCUUGCCACGUAGUUCUUGAGAAAAGUUUUGCACUUAAUAUUCACAGAUUAAAAUGUCCCAAGCAGACGUUACAAGUGAUUGAUUGAAUCACCAUUGCACACUGUACAGCUUCAGUUAUCCAUCGGGAAUUGUGGCAGGACCGGAAGGAGGCUACGUGUAUGUACAAGGUGUUGGUGGUGCCCAUGGACGCGCGGCAGCCUACGACACCGACGCUCGGCAAGGUCCGCGCUCGACGACGGCGACGGCGACGGUGACGGAGUACUCCGGCUCCGUGGAGGCCUGCGCCGACGCGCAGCACUGGAGAGGAUCCGAGGACGCUGCUGCCAGCGCCGGCGCCGGGGCCACGACAAGGGCGCUGCGGCAGGAGGGGCACGUGGAGGUGCAGAGGAGCCAGGUGUCGACGCAGGCCGCGUGGAAGGCGUGGCCGCACGGCGGGAGCACGCGGAUCUCGUCGCCGCUCGCGAACUCGGCGAGGCAGAUGGCGCACUCCGGCCGCUCCCCCUCCCCGCCGUCCCCCUCCUUGCCGGCCUCAAACGGCACGGUCGGCAGCUUCCGCAGCGCCUCCUCCUCGAUCCCCUUGCGCUUCGCCGCCGCAUGCGGCAUUGCCGCCCCGUCGCCGUGCUCCGCAUCCACGGAGUAGGCCGACGGGUUGCACAGCCGCGAGCACCGCGCGACGAAGGCGAGCCCGACGACGCAGAGCAGGAAGC
rnacentral:lncRNA from 1 species